CUGGCGGCGUGCCUAAUCAUGCAAUCCCAGCGAACUGGAUUAGAAGCUUGCUUCUAUGACGUUAGCGGCGGACGGGUGAGUAACACGUGGGCAACCUGCCUGUAAGACUGGGAUAACUUCGGGAAACCGAAGCUAAUACCGGAUAGGAUCUUCUCCUUCAUGGGAGAUGAUUGAAAGAUGGUUUCGGCUAUCACUUACAGAUGGGCCCGCGGUGCAUUAGCUAGUUGGUGAGGUAACGGCUCACCAAGGCAACGAUGCAUAGCCGACCUGAGAGGGUGAUCGGCCACACUGGGACUGAGACACGGCCCAGACUCCUACGGGAGGCAGCAGUAGGGAAUCUUCCGCAAUGGACGAAAGUCUGACGGAGCAACGCCGCGUGAGUGAUGAAGGCUUUCGGGUCGUAAAACUCUGUUGUUAGGGAAGAACAAGUACGAGAGUAACUGCUCGUACCUUGACGGUACCUAACCAGAAAGCCACGGCUAACUACGUGCCAGCAGCCGCGGUAAUACGUAGGUGGCAAGCGUUAUCCGGAAUUAUUGGGCGUAAAGCGCGCGCAGGCGGUUUCUUAAGUCUGAUGUGAAAGCCCACGGCUCAACCGUGGAGGGUCAUUGGAAACUGGGGAACUUGAGUGCAAAAGAGAAAAGCGGAAUUCCACGUGUAGCGGUGAAAAUGCGUAAAGAUGUGGAGGAACACCAGUGGCGAAGGCGGCUUUUUUGGUCUGUA
rnacentral:rRNA from 1 species